GACGAACGCUGGCGGCGUGCUUAACACAUGCAAGUCGAGCGGAGCGGCGAACGGGUGAGUAACGCGUGAGUAACUGCCCCCCUCUCUGGGAUAACAGUUGGAAACGGCUGCUAAUACCGGAUAGUGGGGGAUGACUCGCGUCCUAUCGGCUUGUUGGUGGGGUAGUGGCCUACCAAGGCGACGACGGGUAGCCGGCCUGGGAGGGCGACCGGCCACAUUGGGAUGAGGGACGGACCAAACUCCUAAGGGAGGCAGUAGGGGGGAAGAUUGCGCAAUGGGGGAAACCCUAAGGAAGAAACCCGGGUGCGGGAGUACGGCCUUUGGGGUGGAAACCGCCUUCCGCCAAUACGCGGUAGUGGCAGAAGAAGCACCGGCUAACUACGUGUCAGCAGCCGCGGUAAUAC
rnacentral:rRNA from 1 species